rnacentral:misc_RNA from 1 species
GUGAGUCAUCGAAUCUUUGAACGCACAUUGCGCCCACUGGUAUUCCGGUGGGCACGCCUGUCCGAGCGCCAUUACACCCCCCAAGCUUUGCUUGAUGUUGGGCGAUGCCUAGGCACGCCCCAAACCUCUGGGCGCCUGCCGCCGGCCGCUAGCGUAGCAAAUCUACUCGUUAGCGUGUCCGUCGGGAGGCCGCCCCCGAAUUUUACUCUUACAGUUUGGCCUCGGAUCAGGCGGGGAUACCCGCUGAACUUAAGCAUAUCAAUAAGCGGAGGA